rnacentral:lncRNA from 1 species
UUUGGACGUACUAUGUGAAUGCAAACCCUAGAUCUAGGGGGGUAUCGGGGGGUCAAAAUUUCUCUUCAAACAUUGAAUGGUACCAAUCACAUUAAUUGUGAUGCCCAAUGCAGAUUUUUUGGAGAGGUCACGAAUAAUGCAGAAAAUAUGAGACUCUAAGAAAAGAAAUAAGAAAUAAAUAUACAAAUAUACAUGUCUUAAAGGAGUGCAUCAUGUCGGGUACGGGGGACUAAUGUUCGUGACUCAAUU